AGCGAACGCUGGCGGCAGGCCUAAUACAUGCAAGUCGAACGGUCUCUUCGGAGGCAGUGGCGGACGGGUGAGUAACGCGUGGGAACGUGCCCUUUGGUACGGAACAACUGAGGGAAACUUCAGCUAAUACCGUAUGUGCCCUUCGGGGGAAAGAUUUAUCGCCAUUGGAGCGGCCCGCGUUGGAUUAGCUAGUUGGUGGGGUAAUGGCCCACCAAGGCGACGAUCCAUAGCUGGUCUGAGAGGACGAUCAGCCACACGGGAACUGAGACACGGUCCCGACUCCUACGGGGGGCAGCAGUGAGGAAUAUUGGGCAAUGGGCGCAAGCCUGACCCAGCAACGCCGCGUGGAGGAAGACGGCCUUCGGGUUGUAACUCCUUUACGGGGUAAGAGGAAGGACGGUACCCCGAGAAUAAGUCACGGCUAACUACGUGCCAGCAGCCGCGGUAAU
rnacentral:rRNA from 1 species